UCGCGGACGUCGUGGGUGACCUAGCCCCCAAUCCACCACAGCCCCAUCCCUCCCACCUCCUCCUCCCUUGUCCGCCGCCGCAUCCCACCCUCUCCUCCUCCCUCUUCUGCUUCCUACCUCCUCCCCGGAUGGUGACAAGUCUUGUUGAUUGGGAGACAUGGCAGGACGGCUGGCCUCUCGGGCUGGGCACUCUGAAACCGGGAGCCGGAGCGGUCAGGAGCGUCGGCUCCUCCUCCUCCACCGCGGCCUUCACCCCGUCCCACUGCGUCUCGUCCGUCGCUUCGUCUGAGCUAGACACAGAGUCGGCAUGGUCUUUGCCGCACGCUGGUGGCGGCGGCGGCAUCACGCUGGCGGCCCUGAUCGGCCUGGUGGAUGCCAUGGAGAGCCGGUGCAGCAGGCGCUGGGGCGAGAGGGCGAGCAGGAGCGGCAAGCUGCGGGCGCUGCUGCUCUCGCUAUGCCUCCGGAGCCACCUGAGAACGCCGGCGGCGCGGCGCCGUCGCUCGGCCAGUUCCUCGAGAUGGAACCGUGCCUGACGAGCCUGUAUCCACGAUGCAACCGACGGAUGAACAAGAUUUGCAUGUUGUUAUUCUAAAAAAAAGGAUUUGCAUGCUUGUUGCUCUUUUUUUAGGGACAUGUUGUUGCUCUUUUUGAAUUAGCGUGAGUGGGCAAAAAAUUAGCACUAAAUUUGUUGACUUUCAUUUUUUUGAACAACGACAGUUGCUGACACAAUAAGUCUGCAUUUCGCUUCAGAAUUCAGAGGAGGUCAACAUUUUUUUAUAGUCCUAACAAGGUCACACCUUUUCCCUUUUUCUUUCUUUGUCCCUCAAUUGGGGCUACUGAGUGUUUGCGAUGGAAAUUUAUGGGUCAGUGUUUGCAUUGGUUUGUGGGGAUUACAGGUUGAUAAGGAAUUCAUGCUUGAUGGUUUUUGACGUUCUACAUAUGUUCAGGAAAGAAGAUAGUAGGACAAAGCUAGAGGAGAACUAUGGUGAAAAGAAUAAUUUGCUUUGUCACUGUAUAAGGGAGUUACGUCCAUGGUUAAGGUACAGAUCAAGGAGGUCGACAAAUGGGAUGAGGUUGGGUGAUGUGUACGAGGGAGGAAAAAGGUGUAGGUCCUUGUUUUUUGGGUGAUGGUGAUGUGAAGGUUAGCUACUAUGAUCAAGGAAAUAACAUGUAUCUGUGUGGUUUCUUCCUGUUGUUGAUCAGCCAUUGCUGCAUUUAAGUGACAGUGGUCAGGACGAUGCAGUUGUUGAGAUUGACGACAGAGAAAGAGCUAUGUAGUGUUUCAAGGAAAUAUGAAUGAAGUGAUAGUACUUGCAAACAUGGACUCCUCUUUGCUGGACGAGGAUAACUAAAAUACAAAUUUAGUAGGAAGUAAUUACAUGAUUGAUCUCAGUUUUGUACAUGUUAGGUGAGCAUUAUAAGUUCUACUUCCCAUAAGAGAGUGUAUUUUAGUGUUGCAGAUUGUUUCUAUUUUAGAGCAAGAAGCCAAAUCAUGUUGGUCGUCGUAAAUCUUGGAAAACUUGUUGUUUAUUGUCACUUCUAUCUAUGUUAUAAACUUUUGUUCUUGGUGU